AUUAGUAUAAGAUAUGUUCUUUAAAAUUAAAGAUUUUGGCGGUAUUUUAGUCUAUUCAGAGGAACCUGUUCUGUAAUUGAUAGUCCACGAUUUAAUUUACUUAUUUUAUUAAUUUACAUAUCGUCGUAGUUUGAAUAUUUUAUUAGAAUUUUAAUAUUCAAGAUUUAUUAUAAUAAAAAAAAUCAGAUCAAGGUGUAGUUUAUAAAUAAGAAGAAAUGGGUUACUAUAAUAAAAAUUUAGGAUUAUUAUUUUUAAAAUAGCUUGAAUAUGGAUUUGAAAGUAAUUUUAAUUAAUUAAUUAAAAUGAUUUUAGCUCUAAAAUAUGUACACAUCGCCCG
rnacentral:rRNA from 1 species